GACAGCAGCCGCCACGGUAAUACGGAGGGUGCAAGCGUUAAUCGGAAUUACUGGGCGUAAAGCGCACGCAGGCGGUCUGACAAGUCAGAUGUGAAAUCCCCGGGCUUAACCUGGGAACUGCAUUUGAAACUGUCAGGCUGGAGUCUUGUAGAGGGGGGUGGAAUUCCAGGUGUAGCGGUGAAAUGCGUAGAGAUCUGGAGGAAUACCGGUGGCGAAGGCGGCCCCCUGGACAAAGACUGACGCUCAGGUGCGAAAGCGUGGGGAGCAAACAGGAUUAGAUACCCCGGUAGUCCCUGUCUCUUAUAC
rnacentral:rRNA from 1 species